ACUUUUAACAAUGGAUCUCUAGGCUCUCAUAUCGAUGAAGAACACAGUGAAAUGUGAUAAUUAAUGUGAAUUGCAGAAUUCAGUGAAUCAUCAAGUUUUUGAACGCACCUUGCACCUUUUGGUAUUCCAAAAGGUACACCUGUUUGAGUGUCA
rnacentral:rRNA from 1 species